GUGCUCACUUUGGCAGCACAGAUACUAAAACUGGAACAAUACAGAGAAGAUUAGCAAGGCCCCUACACAAGGAUGACAGACAAAUUUGUAAAGCAUGCCAUAUUUUU